AUCGCGGCGGCCGACGGCGUCGGCGGCGCGGAGCUCUGCCAGAGCGCCGCGGCCCUGGCCCUGGGGGCCGUGGUCGCCGCCCGGCCGCAGCACC
rnacentral:tRNA from 1 species